rnacentral:rRNA from 1 species
ACGGGGUGCAGCAGGCGCGAAACCUACUCAAUGCACUAACGUGCGAAGGGGUUACCUCGAGUGCCACCUGAAGAAGGUGGCUUUUCCUUGGUCUAAAAAGCCUCGGGAAUAAGAGGGGGGCAAGACUGGUGUCAGCCGCCGCGGUAACACCAGCCCCUCGAGUGGUGGGGAUGAUUAUUUGGCCUAAAGCGUCCGUAGCCGGCCGUAUAAGUUUCCCGUUAAAUCCAACGUCUCAAGCGUUGGACUGCGGGAAAUACUGUACGGCUAGAGAGUGGGAGAGGUCGGCGGUAUUCUGGGGGUAGGGGCGAAAUCCUUUGAUCCCCGGAGGACCACCAGUGGCGAAGGCUGCUGACUAGAACACGUCUGACGGUCAGGGACGAAAGCUGGGGUAGCGAACCGGAUUAGAUACCCGGGUAGUCCCAGCUGUAAACGAUGCGAGCUAGGUGUUGGGAUGGCUACGGGCCACUUCAUGCCGCAGGGAAGCCAUUAAGCUCACCGCCUGGGGA